rnacentral:lncRNA from 1 species
GUGUGUGUUCCUCAGCUUCCUGGCUACUGAGUCUUCUCAAGACCAGAGCUCCCUGGCUUUUCAGAAAACCAGCUCUCAAAUCAUCUAGAUCAUCUAUCCCCCUUACUAGGUAGUCCAGUGUGGCCCAAAGCCUAUUUGGACUUUUUUUUUCUUAAAGGAGAAGAAAAAAAGAACCAAGUGAAAACAGAAAAUAAUUCAGCCACGUGAAGCUGAAUUAUUAUAGCUGCCCCAUGUGAGUCGGGAAAGAGAAGGGUGCUUCCUAAAACAUGUUAGACAAGGCACUCUGCGGCUUAGUCCCAUCCUCCACGCCCCGAAGUCUGCAGCUCUCUCAUCAUCUUUGCUGCUUGAGUUUUGAGAGGGGCCCAGUGUGCCUUCUGCAAAGCCUGUGCCACUUGCUUCGAAAUGUGGCUGUCUCUGGAGGGUUCUCACGAGUCCCACGCUGGAUCCUGAGGGCACAGAACUGAAGCUGUUUCAGUUUUUGGUUUGCAUGUUGUUGUUACUGUCGCAAAAGGGAAAUAUCAACUUGGAUAUUAACAAAAUGGAGAACUGAGACCCACCCUGCGAUUUUUGCCAUUUUCUCAUUUUGGUAGAACAAGAGCAAAGAACAAAGGCGCCUUCUAAUGGCAUAACCUAACUUUUAAGGUAACAGCAUCAUUAUAUGUUUAAAGCAAGAAAAGAAGAGGAAAUAAUGUUUGUCAAAAUCUAUCAUGUGUCAGACAUUUUACCGAACUUUCUCCCCUAAGCCCAAUGACAUAGGUACUUGUGUCCCCAUUCCAUGAUGGGGAAAUGGGGGCUAAGAAAGGUGCGGUGACUUGGUUAAGGUCAUACGUGUAGAGAUGAAUGCUAGAGAAAGGAUUCAAAAUCAGGUCUGGCUGUUGCUGAGUUUCCUGUAUUUUCCAAGUUCUUACACUUUCCCUAACUUCCCUGCCUUCAUCUCUGUCCUCUCCUCUGCUUACUCUGUUCUUUUCUGUUCCUCAAACACACAAAGCUCAUUCCCACAUCAGGACUUUCUGUCUCUCUUUGUUUGGCUGCUUCCUUUCUUAUCAUUUGGGACUCAUCACAAAGGCCACCUUCUUGUAAGGUGACCUGACCAUUCCUUUUAAAGUAGUACCCUCUGGGAUAUUGCUCUGUUAAUUUACUUUACAGUACUUCUCACUCACCUACUUUGUUUAUUUCCGUAGUCUGUGACCCCCUACCCACCCCUCACUGACCCUGCAACAGACACUAGAAUGUAGGGCUAGUGAGAGCAGAGGCCUCUUCUUUCUUGUUCUUCUCUAUAUCCAAAGAGUCUGGAGAAAUGGCUGGGACAUUGAGGACAUUCAGAAAUAUUUGUUGGAUGGAUAGGUGGGUGGGUAGAUGGAUGGAUAAACAGGUGGGUGAGUAGACGGAUGAGUGAGUGGGUAGAUGGACAGGUGGAUGGGUAGAUGGAUGAGUAGAUGGAUGGAUGGACGGAUGGGUAGGUAAAUGAAUAAAAUGGUAGAUGGAUGGACAGGUGGGUGGGUAGAUGGAUGAGUAGAUGGUUAAAUGGACAAGUGGGUAGGUAGAUGGAUGAAAGAGUAGAUGGAUGGUUGGAUGGGUGAGUAGGUAGAUGGAUUAGUGAGUAGAUAGAUGAAUGGAUGGAUGGGUAGAUGGAUGGAUGGAUGAAGAUGAAUGAGUUGGUGAAUGUACGUAUGUAUGAAUGUAUGGUGUCUACUAUAUGGCAGGUUCCAGUGAGGAUGUAGAGAUGAAUAAAAUGAUGUCUCUUUGAUCCAAAUGUUUGCUUUGAAAUGAGGGAGACCUUCUCAAUAGUCAAGUAGUUGCAUCAAAGUAUAUUAGGUGUUCUGAGGGAAUAUCAGAUCUCAAAAGCACAUUUGGGAUAGAAAUGAGGAAGGGAUCCAUUUUUGCUGCUGGAGGGUGAUCAGAAAAUGCUCUAUAUGGGAGAUAACACUGUAUCUGAUCCACGAAGGAUAAGUGGUUAUUAUUCAGGUAAUCAAUGAAUUUAAAAGCUUCCCUGCAGCCUAGGAAAAGGGAAAGAAGCUGAACACAGUCUUAGAGUCUAAAAACUGCAAGCUAUUUGGUGUGAUGGGACAAGAGGUGUGAAAGAUCUGGUCUUGAUUGCUACUGCAUAUUCAGUGUUUAGCAUUCAAUUACCCUACUAUUGGCACUUCAUAAUAGUACUCAAGAAUAGGUCCUCAAUAAUUAUUUGUUGAAGAAAGGAACAAAAGGAGAGCACAGGGAAAAGUAAAGCUGGCAAGAUUGACCUGUGCUGGGUACUGCUGGGCUAAGGAAUGUAGAUGCUAGUCAGAGGAAAAUGGACCAUCACAGAAGGGUUGAUGAGAUGCAUGUUUCUGAUGGUCACCCUGCUAAGCACAGGAACUGUGUUGGGGAAAGUCCAGGAAGUGGCAGGAAUAGACAGAGUGGACUAUGGCUAUGGUCCGAGUGUGGGAUGUUGAGGACCUGAGCUAAUCAGGAUAGUGUACGUGAAAAGGUAAAGAGGGAUUCUAGAGACUUGAGGAAGGUAGAACUAGAGUGCUAUCCAUGGUUCCAUAUGGAUGAAGAAGGGAAGAGGGAGGGAAUAUAAAGAGAAGAAUUUUCCAUGCCCCUGCUGGAAUGACUAGAUGCUAGCCACUGGAAUACAAAAUGUAUGGGGUGGGGUUCACCAUGAAGCUAAUGAAGGUUAUGUGCGAGAAUCCCUCCCUUUCACAUCCACUAUCAAGGUCCUAAACCUACUCUUGUAUUCAUUGUUUUCUUUUUAUUUAUUUUUUCCUAAAGAGCCCCUUCCUGGCCAAUUAUAGAAUCCUCAGGCUCCACCAAGCCUGGAUCUUCCCCUGGAAAUACAAGGAGAACAGUUUGGGGGAAAGGAUUCCAUUUGGAUUGUGAAUUCCAUUUGGGGCAUGGUAGGUUAGAGGUGGAUGAAAAACCUUGAGGUGGAGAUGUUCUGCAAGGAGCACAGUGUGGGACAGGGCUUGAAUCCUGGCUUCAUGCUGUGUGGACAUGGGCAAGUUGUUUGAGCUCUGUGCUCAGUAAAAUGGGAUGUUAAUGAUAGUACACCCUGAUAGGGUUGUAAAGAUUAGAUGAGACAACAUAGGUCAAAUGCUUAGAACAGUGCCUAGCACAUAGUGAGUGUUGAAAACAAGUUGCGUGUUGGCUUUUGGUAUUCUGUGGGGC